UUAUGAGAAAUAUCCUGAUGAAUGGACACAGGUUGGUGUUUCUGUGCUUGUGCACUAAGUUUUCUUUGGACCGAGGGAGACUGUAUCGGGCUUCUCGUUACAGGAUGCUGAGCAAGGGUCACGAAACCCAUUCCAAAGACGGAGAAAGUGAGGAACAAAACACAUGAGUGAAUCCAUAUAAAUCCAUGUAGCACAUGCUAAGGCCAGAAUCUUCACACUUGUACACUGGCCAUUUUCUCCUCCACAGCCCCAAAUGCCCCUAGCUUGGUCUACAGUUCAGUGGUAUAAAGUACCCGUUGUCUUGGAACCAUCACCACCAUCCAUCUCCAGAACACUGUCAUCUUUCCUAAUGGAAACCCAGAGCCAAUUAAACAGUAACUUUCCAUUUCCCCUUCCCCAAGCUCCA